rnacentral:rRNA from 1 species
UUCCGGUUGAUCCCGCCGGAGGUUACUGCUAUCGAGGUUCGACUAAGCCAUGCGAGUCGAAUGUAGCAAUACAUGGCGAACUGCUCAGUAACACGUGGACAACCUGCCCUUAGGUUGGGUAUAAACCCGGGAAACUGGGUAUAAUACCCGAUAGGUCUCGAUUGCUGGAAUGCAUCGAGAUUUAAAGCUCCGGCGCCUAAGGAUGGGUCUGCGGCCUAUCAGGUAGUAGUGGGUGUAGCGUACCUACUAGCCUACGACGGGUACGGGUUGUGAGAGCAAGAGCCCGGAGAUGGAUUCUGAGGCACGAAUCCAGGCCCUACGGGGUGCAGCAGGCGCGAAAACUUUACAAUGCUGGCAACAGCGAUAAGGGAACCUCGAGUGCCAGGUUACAAAUCUGGCUGUCGAGAUGCCUAAAAAGCAUUUCAUAGCAAGGGCCGGGCAAGACCGGUGCCAGCCGCCGCGGUAACACCGGCGGCUCGAGUGGUAACCGUUAUUAUUGGGUCUAAAGGGUCUGUAGCCGGCCGGAUAAGUCUCUUGAGAAAUCUGGCAGCUUAACUGUCAGGCUUUCAGGAGAUACUGUCUGGCUCGAGGCCGGGAGAGGUGAGAGGUACUUCAGGGGUAGGGGUGAAAUCUUGUAAUCCUUGAAGGACCACCAGUGGCGAAGGCGUCUCACCAGAACGGACCUGACGGCAAGGGACGAAAGCUAGGGGCACGAACCGGAUUAGAUACCCGGGUAGUCCUAGCCGUAAACGAUACUCGCUAGGUGUCGGCCACGGUGCGACCGUUGUCGGUGCCGUAGGGAAGCCGUGAAGCGAGCCACCUGGGAAGUACGGCCGCAAGGCUGAAACUUAAAGGAAUUGGCGGGGGAGCACCACAACGGGUGGAGCUUGCGGUUUAAUUGGAUUCAACGCCGGG